rnacentral:misc_RNA from 1 species
GAUGAAGAACGUAGCGAAAUGCGAUAAGUAAUGAGAAUUGCAGAAUUCAGUGAAUCAUCGAAUCUUUGAACGCACAUUGCGCCCGCCAGUAUUCUGGCGGGCAUGCCUGUCUGAGCGUCAUUUCAACCCUCAUGCCCCUAGGGCGUGGUGUUGGGGAUCGGCCAAAGCCCGCGAGGGACGGCCGGCCCCUAAAUCUAGUGGCGGACCCGUCGUGGCCUCCUCUGCGAAGUAGUGAUAUUCCGCAUCGGAGAGCGACGAGCCCCUGCCGUUAAACCCCCAACUUUCCAAGGUUGACCUCAGAUCAGGUAGGAAUACCCGCUGAACUUAAGCAUAUCAAUAAGCGGAGGA